UAGGAUGCCAGGCAGAGUGCAAAUGAACC
rnacentral:piRNA from 1 species